AACGAACGCUGGCGGCAUGCCUAACACAUGCAAGUCGAACGAGACCUUCGGGUCUAGUGGCGCACGGGUGCGUAACGCGUGGGAACCUGCCCUUAGGUUCGGAAUAACUCCGAGAAAGGUGUGCUAAUACCGGAUAAUGUCUUCGGACCAAAGAUUUAUCGCCUUUGGAUGGGCCCGCGUUGGAUUAGCUAGUUGGUGGGGUAAUGGCCUACCAAGGCGACGAUCCAUAGCUGGUCUGAGAGGAUGAUCAGCCACACUGGGACUGAGACACGGCCCAGACUCCUACGGGAGGCAGCAGUGGGGAAUAUUGGACAAUGGGCGAAAGCCUGAUCCAGCAAUGCCGCGUGAGUGAUGAAGGCCUUAGGGUUGUAAAGCUCUUUUACCCGGGAUGAUAAUGACAGUACCUGGAGAAUAAGCUCCGGCUAACUCCGUG
rnacentral:rRNA from 1 species